rnacentral:tRNA from 1 species
GCCGUUGUAGCUCAGUUAGGUCAGAGCGCUGUCUUGGUAUGACAGAGGCCAGCGGUUCGAAUCCGCUCUUCGGCU